rnacentral:rRNA from 1 species
UAGUCCACGCCGUAAACGAUGGAUACUAGCUGUUCGGACUUCGGUCUGAGUGGCUAAGCGAAAGUGAUAAGUAUCCCACCUGGGGAGUACGUUCGCAAGAAUGAAACUCAAAGGAAUUGACGGGGGCCCGCACAAGCGGUGGAGCAUGUGGUUUAAUUCGAUGAUACGCGAGGAACCUUACCAGGGCUUAAAUGUAGUCUGACAGGGCCAGAAAUGGCUUUUUCUUCGGACAGAUUACAAGGUGCUGCAUGGUUGUCGUCAGCUCGUGCCGUGAGGUGUCAGGUUAAGUCCUAUAACGAGCGCAACCCCUGUUGUUAGUUGCCAUCGAGUAAUGUCGGGAACUCUAGAGAAACUGCCGGUGACAAACCGGAGGAAGGUAAGGAUGACGUCAAGUCAGCAUGCCCCUUACGCUCUGGGUUACACACGUGCUACAAUGGUCGUGACAAAGAGUUGCUAGUCUGCGAAGGCAAGCCAAUCUCAUAAACGCGGCCUUAGUUCGGAUUGCAGG